rnacentral:rRNA from 1 species
CCCUGCCAUUUGUACACACCGCCCGUCGCACCUACCGAUUGAAUGGCCCGGUGAAGCCUCCGGAUUGGAGUUUGUGGCCCUGCCCUGGCUCCGAGAAGUUGGCUAAAUCUUGCCAUUUAGAGGAAGGUGAAGUC